AAUGAGACAGCAUUGGAGAUAG
rnacentral:misc_RNA from 1 species